UGACUCAACACGGGCAGCUCACCAGGUCCGAACAUAAGCGUGUAAGACAGAUUGAUAGCUCUUUCUCGAAUCUAUGGGUGGUGGUGCAUUGCCGUUCUUAGUUCGUGGAGUGAUUUGUCUGGUUAAUUCCGAUAACGAACGAGACUCAAAUAUAUUAAAUAGAUGCUUUCAGGAUUAUGGCGUUGAAGCUUAUAUAGCCUUCAUUUGUGAGUGCACUAUCAAGUGAUACAAGCGUUUGAAUGUGUUUAUAUAAGUGGAGUCGUACCUUUUGGUUUGUCCCAUUAUAAAAGGACACUAGCUUUUAAAU
rnacentral:rRNA from 1 species